CAGAGGAGAUUUCCUCCUCAGGGAUUAUUGAGGGGGAUUUGAGACGAGGGGGAGGAGUUAUUGUCCUGUCCCGCGUCCUAGCUGUAAUCUAGUGUUUGGACUCUGAGUGGCUGCGUAGAGGCGUCAACACCACAACAGGUCUCUGUGUCACAAAGACAAACACACAAUGUAAAGUACGGGAUGACCAGGAUCCAGAGUGUCCCUCAGCAGAGCUCACACAUCCACACAUGAUUCUUCUGGUAGAAAAGAGAAGUGGUGUGCAUCCUGUUGACUAAUAACCAUAAAACAAACAAAUGGACCUUUGAGGAAAAAGUGCUGAUAUUAGAUAAGAUAUUCCUCUCUGUUAUAUUUACAUCCAAAGUGGGGAGAAGCUGAACCCUGAUCUCAAGAGACUCUCCUGCUUAAAUAAACCAAAGCAAACCAAUAUCAGAUUUAGAUUUGGGUUAAAUUCUGACACUGCUGCUGCAUCUCAUGUAUGAUCACAAUGUCUGAUUCCAUCUUCGUCUUGUGUGUUUCACAAACCAGCUUCCUCUGUCCUACCUCUCCUUCAGUGUCCUUGUGGAGAAACACAACACAGACAGGAAUGUUUGGCCGGGGUCAGUGUCUGUUUUGAGAGAUACCAGCCAAUGUCAGACUACGAGGGAGAAGGAGUAGGAGGAAGAGGAGGAGGAGGCAGAUACCAAGUGGCUCCCUCACCAUGAAACAACUGCUCCUCUGAGAAGAGAAGUCAGAGGUCACGUGAGGCAAGGACGACGUGGGCAAACAGGCAGCAAGAGGCCCACGUGUGAGGCUGUCAGGCCGGGUCUGCCUCCUCUGACUCCCCUCCCAAUAGAAAAGUGAUUGGUGUUAAACUUGUGUGCGGUACCUUCGGACCACCAGGGCCAGGGUCUUGUGGGAGCCCUUCACCAGGCAGAUGGCCUCCUGCCGGGAGCCGCUGAGGGGGACGGCGUUGACGCUCACCAUCUCGUCCCCGGCCAGGAGCCGGGCGGCUGCUGCCACGCUGCCCGGCUCCACCUGCACUCGCACCCAGAGACGUCAGGUGCAGUUA